UGCUGUCUCUGUAUCUGUCUAACAGUGUUCCGGUCCUCCAGGUCAUAAAGACAACCUGCACCUGGACCUGCAGCGCUCCUUCCCCAGAGACAUCUCCUCCAGACAGCUCAGCCCAGCCACGCAGCCCAGGGAACAGGGUCAUCCUGAAGGUCAAGGUAAUAUGAGGACGGUCAACUCAUAUGCUGGCUUCACUGAGUUUGACCGGAGUCCCUCCUUCCUCCAUCCAGACUCCUCUCUUACUAAGCGAGAGAGGAGCGGCGUGUCAGCGGAAGACAUCCUCAUCCACGAAGACCCCAGAGCUGCACUACUACUGGUGAGA